CCUAUCAAAACAUUUUAACAUUUCAACAUAGUAAUAAUAUUUUGAAACCUAUGAGCCUUUUUAAACAGUUCACUUUCAUAGAAAUCUUCAUCAUUAGGACAGUUAUGACAUGAACACUGGUCAGGUGUGGAAGCUUUUUUUUUCAUUCUGCUGUCAAAGUGUUGAUUCAGACUGCAGGAGACAGUGUGUGAGAGCAGCUGCUUACAUAUGGAGACCUGAGCCGAAAUUCAUCACUACUCUGAAUCAUCACUUGGACUGUGCGCUUGGAUUUAUUUUAUUUUUAAUUUUUUUUUGCCUAAACUAAAAAAGAAAUGGAGAGGAAUGGAAACUAUACUAUGAGGAUGAAAUAUGCCAGUGUUCAGCACAUGUGAAACAUUAAAAACUGAGUUACUUUGCUGAUUGGGCAUAAAAUCGAGGCUGUGUGUGGAUACGAUGCCCUGAGCUAGCUCAAUUGAUUCCAGAAGGGUGGACUGUGUUGAGAUGAGGUCUGGACAUUUCUUCUUUUACUCACCUCAGUCACAAUCCACCCCUCAUCCAUCAAUCCCAAAAGCUUCCAUAACAGAUGGAAUCCCUCAUAUAGCUACUAAUCAGUUUUAUGUUGAUGAAAGGCAAAUCCAUCUGCACUCCUCUUUUAAAUCAUUUUUUCCAGAUCCCUGUUUUUUACUAGUUUGAAUGAUGACCGAGCAGCUUCUGUGGAGGAAUGGCCCCAGUUGGAGCCGUUAUCUGUGGCAUUAUUCUGGCAGAGCGAUGGGCUGGACCCUGGAAGGGACAGCUGAGUCAUUUGGCAGAGACCAGCGAGCCAAUUGGUCAGGGAAGUUAUGAGGACAACACUAGAUUUGUGACCACCUUACAGCACUGUCUCACCCCAGGAAGCUCAGCCAGCGGGUCAGGAAUGACUUUCAAGACAAAAAUCAUUACCAGCUAAUAGCCCCUACCUAAUGUAUAGCACUCUAUGUUGUUUUAUAGCUAAAAUAAAUCACAAUAAAAUGACAUGGCAGUGUUAUCUUGUUGAUUUGUAACUAUUUGGAGCGAAAACAUAAUAUUUUGUAGUUUGAGGGGGAACAAAAACUUGUUUUUGUAAAUCAAAAAAGCCUCUGGUUGUUUUCCUCAGAUAUGAGAUAAUGAAUUGAGCGUGACUGAAAAGCCAUAUUCAGAACAGCACUGGGACUUUUCACUGCUUGAAUCACUCUGCCUGUCAGUAUUUACAUGUAGAUGGACUAUCAGUCUGUCUAGUGAAUCUUCCUGUAAUUUACAUUGUUAUGCCAGUAGGUGGCGACAAGUGAGUGAAUCCGAUUCGGUUAUUCUGCAUUCAAACUUUGAAAACAUUGCAAGAUAAAAUAUGUGAAAACCCCUUACAGACUGACAUUCAAUUAUUAAUA